rnacentral:pre_miRNA from 1 species
AAUAAGAUUAUUUUUUAGUUUUUUUAUUCAAUGUUUUGACUAUUCGUCUUAUUUAAAAUUUUUGGGAUUAAUAUUUUUAUUCUUACCUAGAUGAUAAAAUAUAAAUAAUAUUUUAUGCGUGACUAUUUUAUUAAGUUUUUUAUAAAUUUUUCAAAUAAGACGAAUGGUCAACGUGGAAAAACGAAAAAUAAAG